UGUCACUGGCGCUACGUUGUCAGGGUUCUUCUCCAACGGCUGCCCCAAAGUCUUACACCGUGGACCUCUCCGAAGCUUCCCUGCUGUUCCUCUGCAACACACACCACUGGACAAGGGUGGUCUGAUAGUCAGAGAUACCAUGUUUGCACAUGCCCCUGUGAUGUGUAUUAAGAAAGUCUUGCCACACGUCAACUCAAGUCAUUAAAAGAGAUUGGCACAAAGUGACAUAGUCUGCAGUCUACAUUGCAAAGAACCAUGAGAGCGCUUAGAGGAAAAUCAGAAGAGAGAGGAGUAGAAGAGAAAGAUCUUGGGAAUGAAAGAGAGAAAUUCAGGACAGAAAAAUCCAUGAAGAUCGCCAGCCCCAAGGGAAGCCGGCUACCCCGUCUGAACACACUCAGCCUAGGGAGAGGCUCACGGGCCGAGGACAUGAGGUGUUUGGCCAAUCGCUGGCUUUCGUGAGCAGUCUUUGAACCACUUCUAGAGCACUGAAGGGCAGAUAUGGUCAGACGAUGAUUGUUUUUUGUUUUCUGCUGUCACAAAAAUAUCUUUGGAAGUUAUGGGAUAUCAUCACCCAUUGGAACACCACUGGAAACACCAGUUAAAGAGCAAUCUUCUGUGAGAACAGGCUCCCAUUUUAUACAAGGAAUUAUAUAGAUGAAUACAUUAUGUACAUGGAAUUACAAACUUUUAUAUGGUGCUGUGGUCCCUAACAUUGGUUUGUGUGUAAGAAUAAAUCACUAUCAUUCC